UCAGACUUUGUCUCCUAUCUUCAAGAGUCUAUGUAACGGCCCCAGAAAUUUAAAUGAAGAUGUAUGUAUUAAAAAUUUUAAAUGCGGAAGCGAAAUAAAAAUUCUGAUUAAUAUCCCUUACACAAUAACUAUAAAUGUGUUCAACGUAUGAAAGAAUAAACUAAUUAAAAGAAAUACUCGAAAUAAAAACUAUGCGUCUAAUUCACCGUCUUCCUGCGGAACGGGCUCGGGAACCACGUCUUCCUGAUCUGAAAUGGUUAAGUAAGGAAUGAGCUACACUAUCCCAGUAAAAACAUC
rnacentral:lncRNA from 1 species